GAGUUUGAUCGUGGCUCAGAUUGAACGCUGGCGGCAUGCCUUACACAUGCAAGUCGAACGGCAGCACGGGAGCUUGCUCCUGGUGGGCGAGUGGCGAACGGGUGAGUAAUGCAUCGGAACGUAUCCUGGAGUGGGGGGAUAACGUAGCGAAAGUUACGCUAAUACCGCAUAUUCUGUGAGCAGGAAAGCGGGGGACCUUCGGGCCUCGCGCUCUUGGAGCGGCCGAUGUCGGAUUAGCUAGUUGGUGAGGUAAAGGCUCACCAAGGCGACGAUCCGUAGCAGGUCUGAGGGGAUGAUCUGCCACACUGGAACUGAGACACGGUCCAGACUCCUACGGGAGGCAGCAGUGGGAUAUGGACAAUGGGCGAAAGCCUGAUCCAGCCAUGCCGCGUGUGUGAAGAAGGUCUUCGGAUUGUAAAGCACUUUAAGUUGGGAGGAAGGGUCAGUAAGUUAAUACCUUGCUGUUUUGACGUUACCGACAGAAUAAGACACCGGCUAACUCUGUGACAC
rnacentral:rRNA from 1 species